rnacentral:rRNA from 1 species
AGGACGAACGCUGGCGGCGUGCUUAACACAUGCAAGUCGAGCGGUGACGCUCCUUCGGGAGCUGAUCAGCGGCGAACGGGUGAGUAACACGUGGGCAACCUGCCCCUAACACUGGGAUAACCUCGGGAAACCGGGGCUAAUACCGGAUAUGACUUCGAGCGGCAUCGCUUGAAGUGCAAAGCUCCGACGGUUAGGGAUGGGCCCGCGGCCUAUCAGCUUGUUGGUGGGGUAAUGGCCUACCAAGGCGACGACGGGUA